UGGGCUGACCAAAAAGUUUGUUCGAGUUUUUCCGUAACAUCCCACUGAAAAAACCCGAAUGAACUUUUGGCCAACCCAGC
ensembl:miRNA